rnacentral:rRNA from 1 species
UGGGGAAUCUUGCGCAAUGGGCGAAAGCCUGACGCAGCGACGCCGCGUGAGCGAUGAAGGCCUUCGGGUUGUAAAGCUCUGUGGGGAGAGAAGAAUAAGGAUACGCUAACACCGUACUCGAUGACGGUAUCUCCUUAGCAAGCACCGGCUAACUCUGUGCCAGCAGCCGCGGUAAGACAGAGGGUGCAAACGUUGUUCGGAAUUACUGGGCGUAAAGCGCGUGUAGGCGGCCAAGUGUGUCGGAUGUGAAAUCCCACGGCUCAACCGUGGAAGUGCAUUCGAAACUGCUUGGCUGGAGUUUCGGAGAGGAAGGCGGAAUGCUUGGUGUAGAGGUGAAAUUCGUAGAUAUCAAGCAGAACACCUGUGGCGAAGGCGGCCUUCUGGACGAUGACUGACGCUGAGACGCGAAAGCGUGGGGAGCAAACAG